rnacentral:rRNA from 1 species
UACGUAGGGGGCAAGCGUUGUCCGGAUUUACUGGGCGUAAAGAGCGCGUAGGCGGACGUUUAAGUGUGGCCUGAAAGCCCCCGGCUCAACCGGGGAUCCGGGUUGCAAACUGGACGUCUUGAGGGGGAUAGGGGAAGGUGGAAUUCCUGGUGUAGCAGUGAAAUGCGUAGAUAUCAGGAGGAACACCGAUGGCGAAGGCAGGUCUCUGGGCUGACACUGACGCUCAUGCACGAAAGCGUGGGGAGCAAACAGG